rnacentral:rRNA from 1 species
CCUACGGGUGGCAGCAGUGGGGAAUAUUGGACAAUGGGCGAAAGCCUGAUCCAGCCAUGCCGCGUGUGUGAAGAAGGCCUCGGGUUGUAAAGCACUUUCAGUGGGGAAGAAAGCCUUGGGGCUAAUACCCUCGAGGAAGGACAUCACCCACAGAAGAAGCACCGGCUAACUCCGUGCCAGCAGCCGCGGUAAUACGGAGGGUGCGAGCGUUAAUCGGAAUUACUGGGCGUAAAGCGCGCGUAGGCGGUCUGAUAAGCCGGUUGUGAAAGCCCCGGGCUCAACCUGGGAACGGCAUCCGGAACUGUCAGGCUAGAGUGCAGGAGAGGAAGGUAGAAUUCCCGGUGUAGCGGUGAAAUGCGUAGAGAUCGGGAGGAAUACCAGUGGCGAAGGCGGCCUUCUGGACUGACACUGACGCUGAGGUGCGAAAGCGUGGGUAGCAAACAGGAUUAGAUACCCUGGUAGUC